GGACAAGAUGUUAUCAUUAUUUUUUUGCACAAGCACACCUGAGGAAGCUGUACUAAGCAAACAAACAGCCAAGAAGCCAAGAGAAGCGGGAUUCUGUCAGCGGUGCAACCUACGGAAGGCGGCCAUGCGAGGGACUGCCUGCCUGAGAGCUACUCCCCUGAGCAUGCCACGUCUUCUAACUCUCUCCAAGGACAACAAUCCCAGGAUGGCCUAGAACGGAGUCCAGGUGAUGGAAUUGGGACGAAAUGUAGGCUGUAGGCUAAGCAAGACACCCCAGGGCGGCCCUUCUCAGCCAAGUGGGUGUCGAUAUGGGGGGGGGGAAGAGUUUUCCUCCUGAGAGGAGCCACCCCAGGGGAUCACGCCUGGAUCCUGGAGUUCCAGAGGUCUGAGCCCUGGGUGGGACUCCCAGCCCACACAACCCCUGGCGUCACACCAGAAAAUGUCCCAGAUAUGGGAGCGGGACCCCCCCCUCUGGCCCCUUU
rnacentral:lncRNA from 1 species